CACUAAGGAUAGUAACAAAAAUGAUGGAACUGCCAACACUAAGGAUAGUAACAAAAAUGAUGGAACUGCCAACACUAAGGAUAGUAACAAAAAUGAUGGAACUGCCAACACUAAGGAUAGUAACAAAAAUGAUGGAACUGCCAACACUAAGGAUAGUAACAAAAGUAAGGACGGCAAAAAUAAAGAUAACAAGAAUGUAAACGACAGUGGACAAUAUGCUCAGAACAGUUUUAUACAGACUAGUUGUGAAGUUGAGCUUAAUAUACAGAACAACUACGAAACAAAUCCUUAUGUUUCUAAUUUUAUAACGAACAUAAACCACGGUACAUUGUCAAACUGUAGUUUUACUUGUACAGAUAAGGAGAGUGUUAGAAGAGAUGUACAUGGGGACAUGAAAAGAAAGACAUGUGAUGCAAGUGUCACUAGAACUUUCCAAAACUUUUUAGAUGAAAAAACACAUGAUAUAAAUGAAAAUUAUAAAACAAAAAUGGAAAUGCUUAUGCGACAAGAGUUUUUCAAAAAAAAAAAAAAAGAUUUAAUGAAAAUAUUCAGUGCAUACGGUAUUUAUAGCAACAAUAAUAUACCGAACAUGAUCCCAUUAAAGUAUAUACAUUUAACUAUCAUUAGUGCUAUUUUUCAUUCAUUAAAUUUAGAUUUUAUAUUAAUAGAUAUUAUAAAAGACAUAUUCCAAAAAAAAUUAGAAGAUAUACAGAAAAAGUUUAUGGUACCAAACAAUCAAUCUUAUAUAUCUAGUAUAUUAGUAUGUUUUUUAUAUUAUUUUUGUUCAUUUUUAGACAUUUUAUUUGGCAUGAACAACAAUGAAAACUAUUAUAUUAAUUUAAUACAUAAUAAAAAAUUCAAUAUUUUCAACAAUUUUAAUGAUGUAAUAUAUAAAAAAAAACAAAACCCCCAAAAAAAGAACUACAUAUACAUGAACAAUAAAUUUAGCCAACGUACUAAUUAUUUAUGGCUACAAGAAAAAAAAGAAAAAAAUGAUUUUACUUCUAGGGUUGAUAGUGUUUAUUUAAAGGCAAAAGAAGACUAUAUGGGAAAAGACUAUAUGGGAAAAGACUAUAUGGAAAAAGACUAUAUGGAAAAAGACUAUAUGGAAAAAGACAAAAUAAACGAAACUAAAAAUAACUUUGAGAAAAUUUGUAUAUUUUUGGAUACCUGUAACGAUUAUAACUUUUCUUUUUUGAACAACGUAAACUAUGAAGAUGAAAAUAAAAAUUAUUUAUUCGUUCAGCAAGUUGAGAGGGGUGUCGAUGUGGGUGAAUGUACGGGCAUAGGCACAGGUACUGGUACAGGUGCAGGUACAAGUACAAACACAAUAACAGAUAUGAAUGCGCAUGAAUGUAGUAACAACCAUCCUGACAAUGACUACCAUAAGAAGAGGAACUACACAGAUAACAUUCCUGUGUUUAAAUGCACAAAUAUGAGCAUUUAUUUAGUGAAAGAAAACAGUAUUAGUUAUAUUUGUCCAUUUUAUUUAUCCUAUUUUAACUACUACUGUUUUAGUAGGUAUAUUAAUUAUAGUGAUAGUUUUUUUUUGUCAAAAUAUGAACUUAUAGAUGAAGAGGAAGUAAUAACAAACGAAUCAGUAUGUCCACCAUACAAUGUUCAUAUAAUAAAUGAUAAAAAAAAUGCCAAAAGUAACAAUAACAAUAAUGACAAUAAAAGCAAUAAUGAAAAUAAAAGCAAUAAUGACAAUAAUAAUAAUAAUAAUAAUAACAAUAUAUGGGUAAUACAAAAAAUAAGAAUAAUAUUCGAUUUGAUAAAAAUAUAUUUAAAAGAUGCGUUAGAUAAAAAAAAAUACAGUAUAGUUGAAGCUAUGAGUAAUUAUAAAGAAUGUAAAAAAGGUUUAGAAGAUAUAAAGUUUAUAUACCACUUAAUAAGCUUAUUAAAUUUUGAAGAAAAAAGAAAAAAAGUGUCAAAUUCUGUUAUAUAUAAAACUAUUUAUUACCUUUUGGUGGAAAAAUUUGCUCCGUCUGUACAGUGUGUCGACAACGUUGGUGUUAGUACAGCUUAUGCCACAAACACAAGUACCAAAAAUGCGAGUUUCACAAGUGAGAGUGUCAAAAGCGAGAGUGUCAAAAGCGAGAGUGUCAAAAGUGCGAGUGUUACGAAAACCAACCAAUAUAUCGAUUGCGAAAAAACUAUCACCAUAUUUUUCAACAUAAUAAGAAUGACUAGAAUAUUUCCAAUAAACAAUCACAAAAUAGAAAAAAUUUUUGCACUUAUAAAAUCAUAUGCACAGGAUGAUACUAAUUUUAUAUAUCAUGUUUUUAAUCAAUUAUAUUUUUUUAUAUUUGAAAAUUUAAAAAACGAAAAUAAAAUGUGUUUACGAAAAUAUGCUGAAAAGUGUUUUUAUAAAAAAAAAUGUAUAACUUUCAUUCCUAACUAUAAUGAAAAAAUCAGUUUAUAUAAAAAUCAAAAUUAUAAAAAGAAUUAUAAUGAUAGGAUUUAUUGGGAUCAAAGAUUGGGUAGUACUUCGGUCACUCCUAUUUUUAUGCAUAAUAAUGAUAAGAUUAAUACUACCAAACAAAGUACCAAUUUCAGUCACUAUCACAUUACUGAAAAUAAUCAACUCGCACAGACAAGUGUUGUACACAUUUAUGACAAUAAAAGCAUUAAUAAUAAUAAUAAUAAUAAUAAUAAUAUUCAUGUGACUAGUGUGGAUAUACAUGACCGUAACGUGGUACUCAUAAACGAACGCUCUGACAAUGCUACCCCUAUCAAUCUUUCUACAAACAUGUACCCAAUUUACAAACAAAACAAAGACAAACAUAAAAACCCUAGUAACAACCACAAUUAUAAACCUAUUUAUCUUGUCAACAAAAAAAAAGAAAUAAAAAAAACAAUUUUGAACACGAACCCCCAAAUAAUUAAAAAGUUAUUUUUAAAUAGUAAUGACAUGUAUGAUAGUGAUAAUAAUUCACCAAGAAAAAAAAAAAUAUAUUUAUUUAAGGUGAAACCUAUUCAGAAUGGGAACUAUUUUAUAUACGAACAGGAAAAACUUUAUCAAAUUUGUAAAAAAAUUAAUAUUAUAAAAAAAUAUAACACAACAAUGAACAUGUUUAAUGGUAACAUGAUUCGUACAAAUUAUGUAUGUACAUGUGAAGGGAAAAAAAAAGAAGAAGGUAAAAAAAAAGGAGAGGUAACGCGGAAAGUGCAGUUUUUAAAUAACACACAACGGGCUUGUGAUAAUCAUACUACUCCUAUAGGAACCAACAAGAUAUCAUUUUGUGAUACUUCACGAGUUAUGAAUACCAUGCAGGAAAUUAUAACUAAUGAUAUUGUAGGGGUCAUAAAAACAAAAGAUCCUAGUGAGUACAGGUUUUUUCAUGCUGUUACUGAUACAUACCAUAAGUACCAAAACAACAAGAAAAAUAGAAAAAAUGAAAAUAUUUAUAUACACAGGUAUACAAGAAAUUAUAAUAAAUAUGAUGAUGAUAAUAGUAAUAUUUCUGAAACAGAAAGCAGCAGUUCUAACAGUUCUGAUAAUAACAGUCAGGAAGCUAACUCACUAACAUCUAAUUCUGAUAGUACAAAGAAUGUAGAAAAAAAUAUUUAUUUCCAUAUGAACGAUUUGUAUACUAAAAACACAAACGAAUUACAAAGUUUGUUGACUACUACGGAUUUAAAAUGUAUACAAC
ensembl:lncRNA